rnacentral:lncRNA from 1 species
UAUACACUGUCAGUGAGGAAGUAAAAUUUUAUCUCUACUGUUUCUCAAAAAGUGAGAAAUAUAUUCAUCUCACAACCAAGCUAUCACAUGUCUGGGCAUAUAAAUAAAGAAAAUGACGUUGGCAUUCCAAACAACACCUUCCAUGAAACUAAUCAUUAAGUAGCCAAGACAAGGAAUCUGUGAAGAUUAGCCCAGGAUGAGUGCAUCAGAAGAAUAUGCAGUCUGUGUCCAUGAUGGAAUAUCCUUCAUCUUUAGAGAAGAAUGGAACCCUGCCUUUUAAAACAAAGUAGAUACAACGGAAGCCAUUCAGUGACGUGAUCCAUACACAAUAAGACUGAUGUCUUCUCUCUCAUAUGGGAAGGCCACAAGAAUCAAGGUUCAACACUGAUUGACAGGAACUGAUAUUCCGGAACAUUGUAUUAAGAUCUACGAGGAGGCUGUGAAGAGACAGUGCUGCGAAGAAUCUUGCUUUGCAGAAGAGAAUUAACAACAAAGCUGAAAACAUUUCAUUAAUUAAUGCCUGAAAUUCCCAGUCUCGUUGCAAGGGAGGACAGACUUGGAAUUCUAAACUGUUUUUCACUUCCUGUCUCUUUUUAAACAGUUCGCUAGGAAUUAUAAGUGGUUUUAAAAUCUUAGCUUUUGUGUGCUGCUAUUUGAGACAGGAAAUCUCUUUAAUUUUCAUUUUUGUUACCAGUGGCUUAUACCUUAAAUGUUUGAUGCUAGAAUUCUUUGGUUUAUGGUUAUUUAUGGCCUUUUUUUAUUUGAGGUUAGAGUUUAAAUAUUUGAACUUUUUUUGGUGUCAUCCCUAAUUAAACAAAUCAAAAUUUAAAAAUCUGAGACAUUACUAUUGGUGACUGUGGUGGAAAAUGAUCCUUAGCUUGCACCAAUUGUCAGCAUGGGUUUCUUGAUGUACUUAUAGACAAAUAGAGUCUCAACCCUGCUUGAUCAUUAGCAAUGACCAGACCCAAAUGUUGGUGCAGCAUGUAGAUUACCUUCUGGGUAAGAGAGAGAGGACGCCUUCCUUGUUUCAAACCACAGGAAAAAAAAAUAUGUGUCGAAAGUAGCAUUGCUUACUAUCUUGAAAAACUAACCACAAAAGCUGAUAGAUUGACAAAUAUAGUAAAGGAAAUCACAGACUGAUGACUCUGGCAAACCUCAUGUGAGAAGGAAAAACAAGAAGCAAACAAAAAUAA